UAUUUCAUCAUGAUCUCUGGGGACAACUGUACUUUUCAUUUGUCAAAAACACAGGUGUCAGAACUACCCAGCCCGGCAGCCCUUGUCAAAACAGUUCCAGGUCUCUGUAAACACAUUCCAGUCCAACACAGAGAGGUGCGGCAAGACUAUCACCUUUUACCCAAUUAGUAAACACAACUGAUUUGUGUGGUAAAAAGACUCUUAGCUCCCUUGUGCCAGCUAAUAAAUUUCUCAUAAACAGGUCCUUCGGGAGGGACCAGUUCUAACCUACGUACACCAAUAUCUGUAACAGAAACCUUUGCGUAAUCAACACAGGCUGGAUCUAAGCAUGCUUCUCAAAACCUUUUGUUCUUCAAAAUGCAGAGUAUGCUUACGGAAUAAAAAAUACUCCUGUUUUCCAAGAUUGUAUCAAUGCCAUUAAUAUAAAUAAGCUGAUUAGGUAACGCAGAGGAUCCAACCCACAACCUUCCUCUAGUGCAGAAUGGCUGUGCGACAUGUUGGAGCUGGCCUUAGGUCUGAAUAGUAUAUGCUCAACUUUUUCCAUUCUCCUGGAAGUGGUACAUUAUUAUAGCGAUAGCUGUUUUACCCUGCUGCUUUUGACUUGCUAUUUCCUCAAGUCUGUUGAGGUUAAUACCAGUUUUCCUUUCCUAGCUAACCUCCAAGGAAAUAUCCGCAAACUCUUGACAUUUUAGAGCUUCUCAGAUCCAGCAUGCAUCCUGGCCAGCCAAGCAAGCAAGUCAUUUAGAAGCCAUUGCCACAUUGCCAUCUUCCUUCUCAAUACCAGGGGAGAGAAAGGGGAAGGAGAAAGAGAUCCGUUGCUUAUGACAAGGCUUGAGGCUGCAAAGCAACAUGGUCAGCAGUUGAGAUCCUCAGUGAUUGCAUUGAGCACUGGACACUUCUGCAAGGACUGCAGCAUUUGGAAGAGAAGCUCCGCCUUCUCUCUUGAAAGGGGGCUCAGCCCUGCAUUUGAUGGAAGAUGCAGUCAGGACAGAAAAUUGGAACUGAAGUUUUUGUUUUGAAUGCCUGAAGCACUCUCCAGCACUUGAUUUUCUGAUGUUUGUGUGGCAUUCAGCAAUGCAGAAUCUCCUAUACUAGGUGUCAUCUUAAUAGCUAUGAUAGUUUUGAAGGCCAUCCUGUAAAAGCAAAACCAUCCCACCCUAUCAUCUGUAGUUUGUGCAGUGAUCAGGUAACAUUACCACUGGCUCCCUUAAAAUUUAGUUUUAAGUGCCUGACAGAGACAAAACAUGCGUCUUUAUGGCUCCUGACUGAUCCAAAGCCAAAUAUUCCAGUAAAUGGCAAUAAUCAAAAUCCAUUAAGUGGAUGGACCAGUUGUGGCUUGUUUUCCCUAGCUUUUUACUGUUAUGUUUUUCAUUAGUAAGAAGGCAGAUCUGUUUCUUGUAACUUUGUUAGCAUUUAUCAGAAAGCUAUCUGCUAUAGUGAGGCCAUAAGAGUUCCUGGGAAAUAUAUAUAACGACCAAAACAAGCAACCUCACUGAGACUUCGUUUGUAAAUUUGCUUAUCUUCUAACUUCUAGUCACCAUGACACAGGGCAGAUGGCUAGAUUUCUUUCAGUCUGAUUUGAUUACUACUUGUUUUUGUCUCUUCUGCGAGAGAGCACAUGAGACUCCGCACGGAUUUAGUUGGGAAAGACCUCAUCCUAACAGUCCCACCAAGUAAACAUCUUAUUAGCACAGCCAAGGGAAACCUCAGACACGUUCAUCCUGCUGUUCAUCCAGAAGUUCAUCCAUCCCAAGUGGGCCAGCAGAAACUGGAGACUGAAAACACAUUUAUAUUCAGAGAGGAGGGUCACCUUUUGGCAGAGAAACCCAAAUAAUCAAGAGAUCUGUCAAGACUUCUCUAUUGGUUUUCUCUUUGAAGACAAAUAGCAUGCUUUUAUCUUCAUACACAGAAUAUUCUUCUAUGAAACUUCAGCCCGUGGGAGACACUGACAGUCUCUGAAAAACAACCAAAUGGCCAGGAGGCCAGCUUUAAUCAUUUGUAGCUAACACACUGAGCAACAUAGAGAGGCUGGGUAGAACAAUUCUACGUAGGAAGUCAAAAGGACUGUAUUACCAGCCUUCAAAGGAAAGACAGGCUUUCGUGGUAUAAAAAAUAGUGGUGCUGUAGUUAUACCAUAUUUGCUGCAUUCUGUGUGAAUUAUUUUCAUUCAAGUAUGAACUGUGUUGGAGGCUUUCUAAUUUACAUUAUGCUUCUGAAUGCAUUUCUAUAGCUCCUUUUGAGGAGAACUUGGGGGUUUAAACAAAUUGAAUAUUGUUCUCUUUCAUGUAGAUCAUCCGGACCCAGUCAAUGACUCAGUUUUUUAUAGCCCUUUUAAAAUUUCAUUUUAUUUUUAGAGAGCAGAACCUUUUUUUUAGUUUGUUGGAUCCUGUUCUUUUGCAGAGACACAUUUUUCGAGAAAUCACAAGUGGCUUCAUAUAAACACUCAGGAAGGAUCAGAGACUGGAAAAGCUGUAGAGGCCAUAGGAAAAUCUGAGGCUGGAGCACAGCACUGUCGUAUGAUGCAAUGUAUUACAGCAGAUAUCAGAUUAAGUGGAAUUGCUACUUGCUGUUCAACAUAUUUCAAGCCUUUGCCACGCUUGUUACAUUGGGAAGGGAUGGGGGCAGCCAGGAGCUGUGUUUGCUGCACAACACAGCAGUGACAGCAUGAUCCAAAGGAAAGAAUUUGCUAUGCUCAGCUGUGACAGAGCAAUGCUGCUGCUUUCCUGGGCACGGGGCAACCAUCUGCUGCCUCUCACAAAAUGCAAGGGCUCCAGCUCCAGAUUUUAAAUUCCCAAACUCUCUAACUCUAAGGUCAGGGAAAUACAGCCUGAAGCCUAACCCAGCUGAGGGUUUUCUCCUCUCUCACAGACAGUCCCAGACUAAGGACCACAUAGUGAGUCUCUAGGGAAGACAAACUUGGUUUUCCUCUUUCUUUCUCAACUUUCUGAUGGUCAGUACCCUGUCACUCCCCAUCUGCAGCAUAUGGUGCUCACAUCCAUUUUCACCUGCUUCUGAAUCCUGUGUCGUUCUCUGCUGUAGAAACAGUUGUCUGUGACAAGGGCAGCAGAUACACUGCCAGAGAUGUCUGGAUACCUAACCUCUAGGUCUUAUAGCAUGGUCUCUGUUAUCAGGAAUAGUAGAUAGCUUGGAAAACAAAAAACAAACUCCAAAAAAAACCAAAGAAAUAGGAAAAAAACCCAAAGAAAAUAAAACAUUAUGGAUGUUCAGGAAGCUGUCUCACCAGGUCUUUUCAGGGCCAGGCAUGUGUGAGAGUUUGA